rnacentral:lncRNA from 1 species
AACAUCAACCAUGGCGCCAUACACGACUAAACAAAAACUACGCUGCAUUUCCUGCAGAAGUAUAACUGCAAUUUGCGCUACACAGCCACUGCAGUCUGCAAGACUCCAACUUCCAUUCCAAGAGAGAAAAACGCGAGCAAUUGCUCUGAAUUCUACGUGUGAGCAUCAUCUGGCUUCGGGAUGAGCCUGGAAGGAUGGAACAGACUAACACUGCAGUUGUUGGCCCUCGUUUUUACAAUGGCAUCACUCGGCUGCAAUCUACUCGUGUUUGUGAUCGUGACAAAUAAUCCGCCAGACCUGCGAAAUGACACCAACAGCAGCAGCAGCACGGAUAGACAGGACUGGGAUGCUACCACUGCUGGGGACAAGAUACCAGAAGUAAGAUUGCCAGUGAAACUACCAAAUCUAUGCAGCAAUGUAACUCCAGUUCACGACAGCUUCACCAAAACAUGGUGGCUGACUUGUGCUUUGCCAGGUGCAUCUACAACUCCUGAACCUUCAAAGCCCUACGGCAAAAAAUUACAGAAACCAUCGCAAACCAAUGUUUAUACUCCAGAGCGUGUUUCACAAUUGUGCUGGCACAGCACAGAGAGAAGAAGAACUGGAAAGAUUUGUCCCUUUGGAUUUCUAGCAGCGUCUAUUGCCAUUUCUACUGCGCUCGUUGUUGGAACCCUAGUAUCACUGAUAACUCGACGCAUAUUUGGUAUAUCGUGUAGUCAGAUUCAGAAUCGUCCAUUAUGCAAUGCUGUAUACGAGAAUUCAGUUUUCAUCGGCAACAUCCUUUCUUCUCUGUGCUCAGGAAUAUUUAUUGUAACUGUGUUGUGUUUCUCGACAGACGAUUAUGCCGAUGAGCUAACAGGAAACAUUCUGCACCGGGAUGGUGGUCUUUUAUUUGCCUCUCUGUGUAUUGGGUUUUUGUGUACCGUGUGUGCGAUUUCCUUUAGCUGGUAUGUCAUCAAACAAAACAGAACGCACUCUAUAUUUUAUUUUCAAAUGAGCCGGCCUGAAGAAGUGAGACAUAUCAAUACACAUAUCUUGGGCAGACAGUACCAGAGUAUUAAUAAUGUUUAGUAAUGUUACUAUACCUAUCUAUUUAUAUUGUGUAUUUUUUCAUUUAAAGAACUUAUAUUUGUAGUAAACUAAAAAAAUUACUUGAAACUUGAAAUUGUGUUGCUAUAUUGAGGCUUCUUGUGUAAUAAUUAAUCUUAAUAAAUAAGAAUAUUUGGCAUGGUAACACCUAUUGCCCAACUAUUACACAAUUUCACUGCA